rnacentral:rRNA from 1 species
UUCGAUUCUGGCUCAGGAUGAACGCUAGCGGCAGGCUUAACACAUGCAAGUCGAGGGGCAUCGGGAGUAGCAAUACUUGCCGGCGACCGGCGCAAGGGUGCGUAACGCGUGAGCAACAUGCCCGUAUCAGGGGGAUAAUCCAUGGAAACGUGGUCUAAUACCCCAUAGUAAUUAUGUAAGGCAUCUUAUAUAAUUUAAAGCUUUGGUGGAUACGGAUUGGCUCGCGUGACAUUAGCUGGAUGGUAAGGUAACGGCUUACCAUGGCUACGAUGUCUAGGGGUUCUGAGAGGAAGGUCCCCCACACUGGAACUGAGACACGGUCCAGACUCCUACGGGAGGCAGCAGUGGGGAAUAUUGGACAAUGGAUGGAAAUCUGAUCCAGCCGUGCCGCGUGCCAGGAAGACGGCCCUAUGGGUUGUAAACUGCUUUUGUAUGGGAGCAAUAAGGGCUACGUGUAGUCCGAUGAGAGUACCAUACGAAUAAGCACCGGCUAACUCCGUGCCAGCCGCGGC